rnacentral:lncRNA from 1 species
AUGGCUGGGCGGACCCUGGCGCUGCGCUACGGCCCCCCAUGGUCCCCCAUCUCCGGAACUGAGGUGCCUGGGUCCUGGCCCAGCUGGCAUCUCACCAGCAGCGGCGUUGCGCACCACCACAUCCCCUCCCUGCCCUUCCCCCCGCCCAGCGUGCAGUGCACAGUCGCGGGGCCCCUGCCCCCGGCCGCGAAGCAGGACUGGCCCAUCGGGGCUUUCGACGAAGUCUUUAACACAUGGGAGACAACCUCGGGCUCGGCGCACGUGCGCAAGACUCACGGUGGGCCCUUGGCGCAGGCCCGGGCCCCGGAGCCCGCGGACCCCACGCGCACCUUGGGGAUCAAGUCUUUAGGAGAAAAGCUCAGACACCACGGCUGGCACCUGGCGGGGACCGCCGAGAUCCAGAGCGAGACGAAAGCGAAGUACCCGGGCUGGCUCCCCGCGCCGCUGCGCGCCCCCUCGCCCGGCGUGCCGCAGCCCCUGGAGCUCGCCGACCACCUCUGCGGGGGCCCUUCGCAGGCCCUCAUCCCCUGGACCAGGAACACGGAGCUGGCCGGCCAGCCCUUCAUGGUGUCUGACCAGGGCGUCCUGAACCGACACCAGCCCUACCUGACCACUACCGCCCGGGACUUCCGCUACUACACGAAGAAGGAGCUGUCCGGAUACCCGCGCAAGGACUCGCUGACCUACUGGAACUUCGAGCAGACGCCCCGGGUCUGGGCCGAUGGCCCGCAGCGGGCACCCUGUUCGCCUUUCCCUCAGCCCUCGCGGGUCCGCGUGCCCCGCGCCGCCGGCCGUGCCGCACCGCGGGGCCCUGCCCUUGGCUCGGGAGUCCUUCUGCCCCCCGCUGCACGCACUGCGCCGCCUCGACCUUUCCUGUCCUCUGGAGGCGCCCUGGGGAGGUCCCCACUGGAGGCCCCUGCCGGGCAUCUACAGCACGCCCAAAGCCUACAGCACCGAGAGCUCCCGCUACGGCAGCGGGAGGCCGGAGCUCGUGUGAGCGCGCCUGCCCACGGGGCCAGCCCGGCCGGGACUCCCCCGAGCAGCGGAGACAGCGCCCGGACUGGGACACGCCCACUCAACCACUUGGUGUGGGCGGGGCUACCCUUGAACACGCCCCCCAGCUCGCGGCGGGAGGGACUGAGACUGGAGAGGGGGCCAGGGCUCACCCCGUCCAAGAGUUAA